CCAGCCAGAAACAGAGGUUACAGUGGAGGUCUCUGAGGCACUGGGGAUGGCAGAUCACAUCGUGAGAGAAGUCUAGACUCCUGAAUGGCACUGUAGAAUGCUUCCCACCAAUCACCUACUUGGACUAUGUGAUAUGUGGCGAACACCGAAGAACUGUUAAGAUGUCUCUUUGAUGAAGGACUUACUGCCCCAGCUGCUGAGAAUGCUGUUAGUAGAUGGUCUUCAGAAGAUUCCGGCCCCUUCAGUGAUUGCCUCAGCUGCAGAAAGCUGCCUCUCCCAAGGUCACACCCCUUCCCAUGGGAGCAGUCCACAUCCAAUGACUGAUCACAUGCAGGAAUAUAUAGGCAUGGCCAUCUCAGUUCAAUUAAAGAGCUGCCCAUGAGGUGUUGAUGCCAAGAACGCUAAUAAAAAUCCAGAGGGCUAAAGUUUGUCUCAGAUUCUGCAUACGGAGGAACUCAAGCUGUGACAACAUGUUAGAAUAAAAUGUAAAAGAAUACCUAUCUUUUUAAAAAAUUUAAUUUAAUUUAAUUUUAAGUUCUGGGAUACAUGUGCAGGAUGUGUAGGUUUGUUGCAUAGGUAAACAUGUACCAUGGUGAUUUGCUGCACCUAUCAACCCAUCACCUAGGUAUUAAGACCCACGUACAUUAACUAUUUAUCCUGGUGCUCUUCCUCCCCCCGUACCCCCUGACAGGCCCCAGUGUAUGUUGUUCCCCUCCCUGUGUCCAUGUGUUCUCAUUGUUCAGCUCCCACUUAUAAGAAGUGAGAACAUGCAGUGUUUGGUUUUCUGUUCCUGUGUUCAUUUGCUGAGGAUCAUGGCUUCCAGCUCCAUCCAUGUCCCUGCAAAGGACAUAAUCUCAUUCAUUUUUAUGGCUGCAUAGUAUUCCAUGGUGUAUAUGCACCACAUUUUCUUUAUUCUGUCUAUCACUGAUGGACAUUUGGAUUGAUUCCAUGUCUUUGCUAUUGUGAAUAGUGCUGCAGUGAAUAUAUGUGUGCAUGUAUCUUUAUAUUAGAAUGAUAUAUAUUCCUUUGGGUAUACACCCAGUAAUGGAAUUGCUGGGCCAAAUGGUAUUUCUGGUUCUAGAUCUCUAGAUCUAGAGGAAUCAUCACACUGUCUUCCACAAUGGUUGAACAAAUUUACAUUCCCACCAACAGUGUAAAAGUGUUCCUAUUUCUCCACAGCCUCACCAGCAUCUGUUGUUUCUUGACUUUUUAAUAAUUACCAUUCUGACUGGCGUGAGGUGGUGUCUUAUUGUGGUUUUGGUGUGCAUUUCUAAUGAUCAGUGAUGUUGAGCUUUUUUUCUUGUGUUUGUUGACCACAUACUUGUCUUCUUUUGAGAAGUGUCUUUUCAUGUCCUUUUUCCACUUUUUGAUGGGGUUGUUUGUUUUUUUUCUUGGAAAUUUGUUUAAGUUUCUUGUAGAUUCUGGAUAUUAGACCUUUGUCUGAUGGGUAGACUGCAAAAAUUUUCUCCCACUCUGUAGGUUGUCUGCUCACUCUGAUGAUAGUUUCUUUUGCUGUGAAGAAGCUCUUUAGUUUAAUUAUAUCCCAUUUGUCAAUUUUUGCUUUUGUUGCAAUUACUUUUGAUGUUUUUGUCGUGAAAUCUUUGCCCAUGUCUAUGUUCUGAAUGGCAAAGAAUAUCUAUCUUUAAAAUAAUCUUGAGUGUGGGAAAGUGUUCUUAAACAGAAUAUAAAAGCCAAAAUCCAUAAAGAAAGAAAUGGAAAGAUCUGACAAAAUGAAAAGUAAAAGCUUCUUUCAGCAUUAUGAAAGACAUCCUAAGCAAAAUUAAAAGGCAUUUUUUGAGGAAAUAUUUUUUAACAUAAAUAAUAGACAAAGUUCAUAUCUGCAAUAUAUAAAGACCUCCUACAAAUAAAUAAGAAGCCACCGUCUGCCCAAAAAAGGAUAAUAUAUAUGAGCAAGAAAUUUUUUAAAAGAGAUGUUGUGGCCAGGCGCAGUGGCUCAUGCCUGUAAUCCUAGCACUUUGGCAGGCCAAGGUGGACAGAUUGCCUGAGCUCAGGAGUUUGAGACCAGACUGGGCAACAUGGUGAAACCCCAUCUCUACUAAAAUACAAAAAAAAAAAAAAAACAAAAAAAAAACCAACAAAAAAAACACAAAAUAAUUAGCCGGGCGUGGCGGUGUACACCUGUAGUCCCAGCUACUCAGGAGGCUGAGGCAAUUGCUUGAACCCGGGAGGCAGAGGUUGCAGUGAGCGGAGAUCGUGCCGCUGCACUCCAGCCUGGUGGCAGAGCGAGACUCCUUCUCAAAAAAAUAAAAAAAAUAAAAAAAAAAUAAAUGUUGCCAAUAAUGUAGGAAAGAUGUUCUCAGCCUUUCUUGCAAUCAAAGAGAGAAUUGUCAACAUAGAGAAUAAGCUAACUUGUAAAAUGAAAAAGGUUGAUAGUAUACACAAUUGGCAAGAGGAUGGGGGAAAUGGGUACUCAAGAUAUUUGUGGAAAUGUAAAUGUUAUUUUGAAAGGCAUUUGGGCAGUAAUUUCUCAACAUUUUAAAUGUGUAUGCUCUUUGAUCUAGCAAUUUUUCUUUUAGGAAUAUAUGCUGCAGAAAUAUUAACACAUGCACACAAAAAGGUGCAUGAGAAGGUUUAUGCAAGACUUAUUUUUAAUAGGAAGAAUUGGCUAUCUAUUUGAAUAGGAAAAUCAGAACCCCUAUCUAUCUCAUAUCAUACAUAAAAAUAAAUUCCAGAAGGAUGAAAGAUUCUAAAUAUAAGAAAACAAAACCACACAGACGUGUGGUGAACACUGAAGGAUUGCUUAGAUGUCUCUUUGGUGAAGGACUUUCUGUCCCAGUAAGUCCUUUGAAACAAGCAUCCCAAAAGAGGGGACAACUGUUUAAAAAUAUUGUGCAUUAUUAAAUGCUAUAGAUAUGCUAAAAAGAG
rnacentral:lncRNA from 10 species